rnacentral:rRNA from 1 species
ACAAACGUUUUAGUUAUAGAAUGUUACCUUGCAUUUAAUGCAUUAUAGUAUAACUUUCAGCAACGGAUCUCUUGGCUCUCGCAUCGAUGAAGAACGCAGCCCCCUGCGAUAAGUAAUGUGAAUUGCAGAAUUCAGUGAAUCAUCGAAUCUUUGAACGCAUCUUGCGCCCUUUGGUAUUCCGAAGGGCAUGCCUGUUUGAGUGUCAUGAAAUUCUCAACCUCUGAAAUUUUUAUAAUUGAAGAGGCUUGGACUUGGAGGUUGUGCUGGCUUUUUUUAAAGUACGGCUCCUCUUAAAUAUAUUAGUGCGAAACUUAUGGAUCGCUCUUCAGUGUGAUAAUUAUCGACGCUGUGGGUGUGAAGUAUUUUUAAUAUUUCGUGCUUCUAAUAGUCCUUUAUAAGGACAGACAUAAACUUUGACAUCUGACCUCAAAUCAGGUAGGACUACCCGCUGAACUUAAGCAUAUCAAUAAGCGGAGGAA